CAAUAGCGUAUAUUUAAGUUGUUGCAGUUAAAAAGCUCGUAGUUGGAUUUCGUGUGGGACGCAGCGGUCUCGCAUUGCGUUUGUACUGCUGCAGCCCUCCUUCUUGCCGGGGGCGGCCUCUCGGACUUCACUGUCUGGGGGUCAGAAUCGGCGAUGUUACUUUGAGUAAAUUAGAGUGUUCAAAGCAAGCUUACGCUCUGAAUAUAAUAGCAUGGGAUAACACGACAGGACUCUGGCCUAUCGUGUUGGUCUAUAGGACCAGAGUAAUGAUUAAGAGGGACAGUCGGGGGCAUUCGUAUUCCGUUGUCAGAGGUGAAAUUCUUGGAUUUACGGAAGACGAACAUCUGCGAAAGCAUUUGCCAAGGAUGUUUUCAUUGA
rnacentral:rRNA from 1 species